GAUGAACGCUAGCGGCAGGCCUAAUACAUGCAAGUCGAACGGGUGGUCGCAAGACCACUAGUGGCGCACGGGUGCGUAACGCGUAACCAACCUGCCCCGAUCUGGGGGAUAGCCCGCCGAAAGGCGGAUUAAUACCGCAUAUACCCGCAGCCUGGCAUCAGGCAACGGGGAAAGAUUUAUUGGAUCGGGAUGGGGUUGCGUGACAUUAGCUAGUUGGCGGGGUAAGGGCCCACCAAGGCGACGAUGUCUAGGGGACCUGAGAGGGUGAUCCCCCACACUGGCACUGGGACACGGGCCAGACUCCUACGGGAGGCAGCAGUAGGGAAUAUUGGGCAAUGGGCGAGAGCCUGACCCAGCCAUGCCGCGUGCCGGAUGAAGGCCUUCUGGGUUGUAAACGGCUUUUCUCAGGGAAGAAAAAGACCUUGCGAGGUACACUGACGGUACCUGAGGAAUAAGCACCGGCUAACUCCGUG
rnacentral:rRNA from 1 species